GACGAACGCUGGCGGCGUGCUUAACACAUGCAAGUCGAACGGAAAGGCCCUGCUUUUGUGGGGUGCUCGCGUGGCGAACGGGUGAGAAACCCGUGAGUAUCCUGCCCUUGACUUUGGGAUAACUUCAGGAAAGUGCGGAUAAUACAGGAUAGGAGCUCCUGCAGCAGGGUGGGGGUUGGAAAGUUUCGGCGGUUGGGGAUGGACGCGCGGCUUAUCAGCUUGUUGGUGGGGUAUUGGCUUACCCAGGCUUUGACGGGUAGCCGGCCUGAGAGGGUAGCCGGCCACAUGGGGACUGAGAGACGGCCCAGUCUCCUACGGGAGGCAGCGGUGGGGAAUAUUGCACAAUGGGCGGAAGCGUGAUGCAGCAACGCCGCGUUCGGGAUGACGGCCUUCGGGUGGUAAACCGCUUUCGCUUGUGACGAAGCGUGAGUGACGGUAAUGGGUAAAGAAGCACCGGCUAACUACGUG
rnacentral:rRNA from 1 species